rnacentral:rRNA from 1 species
UCGAGAAUCUUCGGCAAUGGGCGCAAGCCUGACCGAGCGAUGCUGCGUGCUGGAUGAAGGUCUUCGGAUUGUAAACAGCUGUUGGGGGGGAUGAAGUGCAUGGGAGCUAUCUCCUGUGUUUGACAGAGCCCCAGAGAAAGCGCGGGCUAAGUUCGUGCCAGCAGCCGCGGUAAUACGAACUGCGCGAACGUUAUUCGGAUUCACUGGGCUUAAAGGGUGCGUAGGUGGGUGAUUAAGUGGGUUGUGAAAUUUUGCGGCUCAACCGUAAGACUGCAUCUCAUACUGGUCAUCUUGAGUGAGUCAGGGGUGUGUGGAACUGCCAGUGGAGCGGUGAAAUGUGUUGAUAUUGGCAGGAACGCCGGUGGCGAAAGCGACACACUGGGGCUUAACUGACGCUGAG